rnacentral:tRNA from 1 species
GCCGGUGUAGCUCAGUGGUUGAGCAUCAAUCUAUGAAACAGAAGGUCCUGGUUCAAUUCCCGGUCAGGGCA